rnacentral:lncRNA from 1 species
UAUUUCCCUUUCAUUAGAGAAAUAACCAUCUUGCUGCCCAUGGACUCAAGAGCUGUCCCUACUAUUUCCAUCAGCAAAUAUGAAUGCAUUGUUGUGGGUUUUCUUGCAAGUGUCGACCAACCUAUAAUCUCCUAGAAUUGCCCCAGGAAGCUCUGCCUCCUCCUCUGCUCUUUGACUCUUGCUGACUUGAGUUCAAAUCCCAAAUGGACUUCUGAUCAGCAGGGUAGCUGACUUCAGAAUACACAGAGAGAGAGAGAGAGAGAGGGAGAGAGAGAGAGAGAGGGAGAGAAAAUGUGUAAACUUCGUGAAGUACUGCACAAGCUCCAGCUUGCAAACCUCACAGAGAUUACAGCCCAUCCAGCUCACAAGCUCUCACCUAAUACAACAGGCUGUCUUCCUCAAGAGGAAGAAUUCGUAGAGGAUACUAAAAUAAACAGAACACUUAUGUAAGUGCACCUAAGCCUGCACCUGCACAGCCUUAGACAGGUGCAGAAUAUAUCAUCAUCAUUAAAACCAUCAAGAUUUCAGGCUGUCUAGCCAUUUCAGAGCUGAAGACUUAACCUCAUCUCAGCACUUGAGAAGAAGCAAAAAAGAGAUUUAUGAUCAAAUUUCCUGUCUUCAUAAAUAAAAAAUAAAUAAUUGGUAACA